rnacentral:tRNA from 1 species
AUGGAGGUGGCUCAAUGGGUAGAGCGCAAGACUUGCAUGCUUGAGGCCCUGGGUUCAGUCCCUGGCGCCACA